UUCAGUCGUGCUGUGAGAGCAUGGGUUGGGAAAUCUCUGUUUGGGCAGCCCCUAGGUGUGAAUAACUACAACAACUAUCUUCUUUGAAGAACUGCAGUUUAUUUCCAGUUGUUCCAGUGAAGCCAACUGGAGAUGACAGGGUUUAUAAUGGACACCUCCAGAUGGGAGACGACUGAGACAGAGAGAGAGGAGGGGCAGCCAACGAGGAAUGACCUUCACAUAUGAGCUGUUCAAAGAGAGGAGGGAAGACAAGGAGAAGGGAGUGGGGAUUGGACAGCUGUUGCCUGGCAACCGCUGCAAGCACAGCAAAGAGGAGACACGUCUUUCCAACACCUGCCAGCUGUUUGACGUCACCGCAAAGUGACACAGCACAGAAGAUGCAUCAUAAUCAUCCAAAGCGGCCUCCUAUGCUGGGGUGUCCCCUAUCACCAACACUGACCUAAACCUGAGGGAUUAUCAUUGUUUUAGUCUUCAUUUGUGUGCAUAAAAAAGAUGUCUUUUCAGACUCCUACAUAUAUAUGAUCACAUAACUCUAUGGUUGAUAAACACAGAUGUAGUUGAUGGUGUCUUGCUCAAGGGUACCCUGUCAAUAGUCGCUGAUAGAGGAGGGCUUUACUCAUCAUGGGUUUUCCCAGCCCCUCCAAGCAGCCAGUGACCUUGGGACUAGAACCUUACUUGUGAUAUUCUUAGACAGACAUUAUUCAGAGAAAAUAAUAUCCAUCCAUCCAUUUUUCCUGCUUAUCCGAAGUCUUGUCGCGGUUGCAGCAGGUUAGGCAAGACAGCCCAGAUGUCCCUCUUUCCCCAGCAACGUUUUUCAGCUCUUUCUGGGGGAUCCCGAGGUGUUCCCAGGUCAGAUGAGAUAUAUAAUAUUUCCAGCAUGUUCUGGGUGUACCUGGGGAUCUGAAUGUGCCUGAAAGACCUCCAGUGGAGUGCACCAAGGAGGCAUCCUAAUCAGAUGCCUGAACAACCUCAAUAGGCUCCUUUUGAUGCGAAGGAGCAACCGCUAUGCUCCGAGCUAAGUAUAUAUAUAUAAGCAUAUAUAAGUAUAUAUAAGCAUCUGUCCAGUCUUCAGUUUGCUAUCACUUAAUUUUGCUAUGCUUGUCUUUCCAAGCAUGAGAAACUACUAUCUAUCAGUGUAAAUAUCUCCUCAAACCAGUAAGACCUUGUGUCUCUGCCCGUCUCCUUUAUUUGGACUAGUUUGUGUUCUCAGUCUAAGAAAACAGAAAAACAGUUAUUUUGAAAGAACAGAUACAUUUUCAGUUUUCUUUUUAAAGUUAUUUGGUUCCCCCAGAGUUUAAACAUGGACAUACCUUCUCCUCUCGACAAACACAUUAUGAUCCUGAUGUUAGCCUUUUGAUAGCUAGGCCUUCGGCUAGCUAAAUGCUCUGCAAAGUAUGCAUCUGCCUCUGGGUUUAAGGAUGCUGCUGAUGAGCAAAAGAAGGGGAGGUGGACACUUAAAGAGACCUCGAUGUACAGAAUGCUUUCAGUGGAGAGGAGGGGAUGGCGAACAGGUGGACUAACAAGCAAAACUAUGUAUGUGACUAUAAGUCAAAUAUCAUCUGUAGCUACCAUAGACAGUCUGGAAUACUUAAAUCCAACAGAUCAGGUAAACUUGUUUGGGCAAUUAUUCGGUUCCUUCGUAGAAGCUCAUGCAUAUCCUUUAUAUGCACUCUACAUUGUAUUGUACUGUGCUGUAAUAAAGGUACCCAUGUAAACACAGAUGACUGAUGCUACCCUAAAAACAGGCAAUAUGCUUCACAGAAUCCUUCACGGCAGACUGGGGUCCUACCCGAUUACAUUAAUAGACUGGAGACUCUCAAAGGACACAAAGAGAGAGAGACACAACUGCACUGUGCGAAAGGUCAGAACAAUGUUUAUAACACUAGUCAGCAAUGUGUCCAAAUCCUUAUCAGUACUGCAGUGAUAAAAUGUUAAUCCUAUGAAUGUUAUCUUGCAAAAAAAUUGUAAGUUGCUAAGCAACGGCCAUGGAGCAGGCUUGUGGGGUGAGCCCGGCUGCCAUGUACAACUUCAGAAGCUAAACCCUGCCUAUCUGUCAACAGCCACAAGGCCUGGUGUGACUAUAGUCUGCUACUGAAGAACAUGAGCUGGGACCACUAGAGCUGGAUACACACCAACACACCCAUACACGUUUGUACUUCUGUACGUAAGAGGAUCAUAUUGACAUAUUAUAAUCCCUACCUAACAUCUAAACCCUAACCUAAACCUUAAUUUAACACCAACCCUAAAACCAAGUCUACAACAGCUCUUUGAAGAAUUGGUGAUGAGCCAAAAUGUCCCCACUUUCGAAAAAUCUCCUCAUUGUUAUGGUUUAAAAUUGGUCUGCACAAAAACAGGAGAGUACACACAUGUAGAGGACACACAAAAAACACACAGACCUUUUCUUUCCACAAAUGUCUUAUUAGGUCAAUUUCUCUAUCUGUACCAAGAUGCUCCUUUGAAAUAAAAAUGAAAAUAAAAAAAAUAAAAAUACUCUCUCACCCAAAACAAAACAUGUCACUGAUCUGCUGUCGUUUUUGUUAGUGUACCUUAGGCUGUCUUUACAAUGUAUAAACAUGUUGAUACACAAAGUGUAGUUUUUGCUGACAAAUUAUACUUCCUUUGAUGGUAAAAUGACAAUCACCAUCUGACUAUCCAAAUCCAAAUGCGACCAUCUUUUUCUCCAUCUCUCUAUACAUCAGAGCAACAGCAGAUUUGAUAUUUCUAGAGGUGUAACCGAUAUCUUACAGACAACAUUUCUGACAGCCAAAGCCAUUUUUGAAUUGUUUUCCAAGGUUUUGCAUCAUUUAGGCAAAUAAUGCAAAUGCAAAGUAGAAAUGCAUCAUUUUUGUCUUUUAUAAUACAUUAAAUUUUUUUGUUAUUCAAACAACAUUUACAGAAACAGCCUGGUGCUCUCGGGCUGCAUAGUGCUGCUCUCUCUGUCUACAUUAUACAGUAUCACUGUAUAUCAUUAGUCAGCCAAUUGCCCCACAUCAUAAACCCACAUUUUAGAUGUGCACACACGCUAACAUGCACAGCAACACAAACACACACAUUCUCACACAGUGCCCACUAUAAAAGAAGAAAGAGAAAAAUGACUGCAUACUCAGCAACAGGCGUACAGUAAUUACACAUAAUGAGCAGCUUAUAGGGCAGUGGUGGGUGAAGCUGCCUAUCUGUGUAGCCAUCAUCCACAAUGAUAGUGAUCAGCAAGCUGACUGGACAAGGACAGAGAGAUGAUGUAAUGCUUCGACUU